CCUGCCUCGCCCUCCCAAAAUGCUGGGAUUACAGGUGUGAGCCACCGCGCCCGGCCGGCCUUUCCUUAAGCGGGGCUGGCACAAAGUGUCUAAAGGGAGAAAGACCGAAAAAAACCUUCAGCCAGAAAGCAUCCCUAAAAUAUGCACGAUUCAAGGGACAUCAACCUCUCCCUGUUCAUACUGAGAUGGAAAGAAGCUUGAGAGAGAAGUGGACUCUCCAAUAUGCCUGGUCUCCUAAUAACGCUUCCUUGCAGCUGUCAGCGCACAGGAGGGCUUGGCCAGGGCUUCCUGACCUCUUCCUACGGCAGCUGGUCAGGGCUGGAAAGACCCUGGACUUGGAGUCAUGACAGCAGGGUUCUACUCUCAGCUGUGUCAUUAAUUAGCUCUGUGGUCCUAGACAAAUCACUUCCCCUCUCUGAGCUUUCUUCUCCCCUCUGUAAAAUGGGGUUAUUUUAAUGCCUGCCCUGUAAGCUGUUGUGGGCAGUGAAGAUGAUCAUACCUAGAAAAGUGCUCUGUGGAUGGUGAGGCACUGGAUGGAGGGCAGAGUGGCCUUCUUUUCAGGGCUGUUUGUUGCAUUCCCCCUUCAGCUCCUAUCAUGGCCAGCACCUCUCCCUACACCUCCUUUGUCUCUUACCUCUCUGUCAUGGCCACCUGCUCCAGCAUGGCAGAGCCUGUGUUGGCCUUCCAGUUCCCAGAGAUGGAGGUUCUCCUGUACCAGAACAAAUAACACAUUGAGGGAAUUAGGGAUGCUCGUCACUGAUCUGCUUUCCUUCUUUGCUUUGGCUGUCAGGAGGCUCUGACUCAAAUGACUGGCUCACGUAAUGGCAUGUAUUCUUAGGUACAUACUUUAUCUUCAACUAUAUUUUCCUAUGUUUAUUUCCCUUCAUGCUGUUUGCCUUUUUUAUUUGUUGGAUCUUAGGUAUUGUUUUCUAAGUCAUCUUUGAAAUUGAAAGAUUGAAUUCAAAAAUGCCUAUAUCAUCUGAUGAAAUCCCCCAAACUUUGGUGUGUUUUUGAGGAGAAUGAGGGCAGUGUGUGUAGCCCCUGAUGAUUCUGGAAUCUUUUGAGGGCCCCAAAAUGUUAGAAAAGUGAUCCUUAGAGAGAAGUGACUACUUUUUUCUGGUAAAGAUUAGGAAGGCCUUCUGGUCUCUGACUGUGUUGCCAUCCUUCUCUGUUUCCUUGCCUCUUCUGCUCCAGUAACAACCGACCUCUCCUCCGGUGCUCCGCUGCCCAUGGCUCUUUCCCAGUGUCACAGCCUCUGCAUGCCUUCUUCCCUUUACUCCAUAGAGUCUUUGUCUCCAUCUUCGCCUCCCUAAGUCCUGCUCAUCCUUCAGGUUUCAUCUGACAUACGACUUCCUGACAGCCCACCUUCCCCAGCAAAAAUAGACUGCCCAGUGCUACACCCUACACGAAUGCUCAGGAAUGCUCAUCUCCCUUCUGAUGACUGCGUUAGUGUCCUCUCUUCUCCGAUGGAGGGGAACCCUGAGGGUAGGGGACAUGUUUAACUUCAUCCCCUGUAUAUCCAGUAUCCAGUGGGACCUGGCAGGCAGUAGGUGCCCAGUAGGUACCUACUGGGUGAGGAACUGUGUACACUGGGAGAGAAUCCAGACAAGCUACCUAUCCCUAACGGUGCAUCUGGCCUCGGCAAAGACUGAACAAGUUUAAGCACAGGGGUGUAGGUAAAGCUAUUUGUCUUAUGGUCAACGGAAGGUAUGUGGUUGAGAUCAAAGGGUGAACUGGGGAGAGGAAUUGACACAAAACUGUAUCAUUGUAAAAGAGAAAAUCAAAUGUAAAAAUGCUGAGAAUAGAUGACCACCAGGAGCCAUAAGGCACCGCAUCAUAGUUGGCAAGGUUGUUUCCCAUGAGGCUACAGGUGAGCAGUUCUGAGACUGGGCGCAUCUACUGAGACGGAACCAAAAAAGUGGAUAGAUGGACCUAGAAAGAAUGACAGCCCAGCAGCGACAAGCACAAAGGCGCGAGUACAAGGCAGGGAGUGGGGCCAGAGGAGGUUGAACGGCUGGGGAAAUUCUACACUGAACUCUGACGUGAACCCCCUCCUUUGGAGGUGGGCCAGGCCAAGGUCCAGGAAACUCCGUAAGUCAUGACAAAGUGGAGCUGUCAGGCCAGGGAAGCUCCGCAGAAAAAAUGCGGCAAUGAGGUAAUCCUCAAGAACAACAACAAAAAAAAAAGCAGAAAAAAACUGGGACAAGGUGUCGUCAAUGUCAAGUGGAAGCUGAAACAAUGAAGAGAGGAGGGAAAUGAUAUCAUGACCUAUGGCGGGGGCCUCAGGAAUGCACUGGAAUGGGCUAUAACUUAUGGUGGGCAGGGAGGAGGUGACUUUAUCACCCCAAGGCCAUCUGAGAGCAGGGGCAGGUCUGGCCUGCCUCGUGGGAGGAAGAGGUUGAUUGGUGGAAUAGGGCAGAGUUACUCCUUGAAAAUGAGUUCCAUCCCUUUCCUGCGAAUACUUCCUUCUAGGGCAACUGCCUGCACCUCCUCUAGUUUCACAAGCAAUGACAGGGCGCAGUAGUUGCGACAGAGACGAUAUGGCCCGUCAAGCCUAAAAUUACCACCUGGUCCUCUACAGAAAAAGUUUGCUGACCCUUGGUCUAGGCAAUCCAGGUAGUGCCAAAGCAACCACAGGCAAUCCGUAAAUGGGUGUGCAAGGCUGUGAUCAACAGGACUGUAUUUAGAGACAGGUGGCAGCUGGAUUUGGCCUGUGCUUGUGGUUUGCCAACCCCUAGCUUAAAGCACAAGCUACCCACGCAGAAGCCUAUGGAUGGAGGGACCUUCCAGCUGUCCAGGGCUAACCCUUGCAGUCCUCACAUAUGGAGCCCUGCACACAGUCAGUGCCCCAUAAAUGCUUGUCAACCAGGCAGCGAUUGGCCCUCUGGGGUCCCAUCAUUUCAAGUGGAACUAACAAUAACAUUCCAGAGUGAAACACAGAGAGGGCUUGGAGCGAAGACCUCUCCCAAGGACGAGACAGUCUACCUACUCCAGAAGUCCCCAUUCAUCCUCAUAACCACAGCCCCAUGUAAUCCAUCCUUUGUUGAACCACCCAGGUGAAGGCGGGCUGCUUUUUUCCGCCUGGCAUUCUUUCCUUUUCCUUUAGAUUCAGCACCUCUAUUUCCACUAGGCAAUGGCCCUGCCCACACUGCAUGCCUUCAUGGUGGGACUCUCCAUACUGCUUUUCUCUAAUCAAUAAAACACAGUCAAAGUUGGACUAAUCAGUACUUUUUCCAUGGAAUCGCAAUCUUGAGUUAAGCCCUGAAAAUGACUAGGGCAGGUUCAUUUACCGGUGGGGAUGCCGUGAAAAUUGUUUAUUAUUAUUUCUGGCUGCCCACAUUCCUGGGCUGCUCUGUAUCCUAAUGCUUCCAAAACUGAUAAUUGAGUUGGGAGAUUUUUUUGUUUGCUUUUUUUAAGUUUCUGAUAAGCCAUGGUUUUCUAAUAAAUUCCCUUUUAAAAACCCAUUAAGUUAAUGAUGUGUGGUUUCUGUUG